rnacentral:rRNA from 1 species
CACGUAGGGCGCAAGCGUUGUCCGGAAUUAUUGGGCGUAAAGAGCUCGUAGGCGGUCUGUUGCGUCCGCUGUGAAAACUCGGGGCUUGACCCCGAGCCUGCAGUGGAUACGGGCAGACUAGAGGUAGGUAGGGGAGAAUGGAAUUCCCGGUGUAGCGGUGAAAUGCGCAGAUAUCGGGAGGAACACCGGUGGCGAAGGCGGUCUCUGGGCCUUACCUGACGCUGAGGAGCGAAAGCGUGGGGAGCGAACAGG